GUCGCUUUAAAUUAAAGUUUAAUCCGUUUAAUAAUUUAUUUUCGCGACUCCGUGUAUCAUCAAGAAAUUAGUCUUCGAAGAAUUGCUGAUGCACCUACGUGAUGACAUUGAUGGAUUCUUCUCAAGAAGCGGGCUCAAGACUCAAGUUCCAGUGAGGGUCCAAGUGAUAGCCACUCUGACAGUGAUGAGGAGCAAGAACAGUGGAUGGAGAAAACAGCAGGCUUGUUGCCAGGUGAAUGCACAUGUACAUGUACUGCCAUGGCUGCCUACACGAAUGUUGAGGCUGGCUAGCGUCAUGGAGCGAGUCGACUGACCGAUGAUAUCUCCAAAGUGAAGAUGCAGGUUACGUCAUACCGACCUCCUCAUGUGAAAACUGUGGGUAUGCCCCAGGAGAAG